GGGGGGGGGGGGGGGGGGGGCGGGGGCAGGGGGGUCGGGGGGGGGAGGGGGGGGGGCGCCGGGAUGCAGGGGCGGACGGGGGAGUAAUGCCUAGGAAACUGCCUGGUGGUGGGGGAGAACGUCCGGGAACGGGCGCUAAUACCGCAUACGGCCUGACGGAGAAAGUGGGUGAUCUUCGGACCUCACGCUAUCAGAUGAGCCUAGGUCGGAUUAGCUAGUUGGUGGGGUAAAGGCCUACCAAGGCGACGAUCCGUAACUGGUCUGAGAGGAUGAUCAGUCACACUGGAACUGAGACACGGUCCAGACUCCUACGGGAGGCAGCAGUGGGGAAUAUUGGACAAUGGGCGAAAGCCUGAUCCAGCCAUGCCGCGUGUGUGAAGAAGGUCUUCGGAUUGUAAAGCACUUUAAGUUGGGAGGAAGGGCAGUAAGUUAAUACCUUGCUGUUUUGACGUUACCAACAGAAUAAGCACCGGCUAACUUCGUG
rnacentral:rRNA from 1 species